CAAUAGCGUAUAUUAAAGUUGUUGCAGUUAGAACGCUCGUAGUCGGAUUUCGGGGCGGUUCGACCGGUCUGCCGAUGGGUACGCACUGGCCGAAGCGUCCUUCCUUCCGGAGACCGUCUCACUCUUAACUGAGCGGAGGCGGGAGACGGAACGUUUACUUUGAAAAAAUCAGAGUGUUUCAAGCAGGCAGCUCGCUCUUGCAUGGAUUAGCAUGGGAUAAUGAAAUAGGACUUUGGUGCUAUUUUGUUGGUUUCGAACACCGAAGUAAUGAUGAGAAGGGACAGUCAGGGGCACUCGUAUUCCGCCGAGAGAGGUGAAAUUCUCAGACCAGCGGAAGACGAACCACUGCGAAAGCAUUUGCCAGGGAUGUUUUCACUGAUCAAGAACGAAAGUUAGGGGAUCGAAGAUGAUUAGAUACCAU
rnacentral:rRNA from 1 species